CUGAGAAACACAACGAAAGGAGAGAAGAGAAGCCACUUUACGAGAUGAGAAAUGGAACGGUGCGAGAAAAAUAACAGGAAGAUUUAAGGAAGCGAGGGAAAGGAAGGGAGUGGAGGCGAAAUAUGAAAGAGGGAAGCUGUAAAAAUCCAAGCUCUCUUAGUCCUCUUGGUCCUCUUAGUCCUCGUCCAAUGAAAAGCCUCGCAGUAAAGGAAGCAUUGUUUUGAUUGGCUGCAGGUAAGAAGGUGCCUUUCUCAGAGAUACCAUUUUGAAACUCUCUCUCUCUCUCUCUCUCUCUCUCUCUCUCUCUGACUAUUUUCAAACGCCAGAAAAAUAAUAAGUAGAGUUCUAGAAGAGUGUUUGUUUUCAAUUAAAUAACGCAGUAAUGUUGUUAAUCUAUCAUUACAACCGUGAGAACAUCUUUAAAAAUGUCUUAUUAUAAAUCCGUAUUCUCUCAUCACAGCUAUUUUCCAAAGCCAUAUAGAUGAUAAACCCGGUUCUCUAGUGUUUCUCCUGUAAAUAGUGUGGAAAUACUGUUCACCUGCUACUACAACUGUAAAAACACAGAUAAACUCAUGUGUAAAUUACUGUAAUUUCUUUGAUCAGGACUAUUUUCCAAGGCCAGAUCUUCUAAAAUUUUUCUCCUUGAAGUAGUGUGAAAAUACCGUUCGUCUGUAGAACCGUGAAGAAACACCCUUAGAAUCCCACAUAACUUCAACUGGAGCCUUCGGAAAGUAGCGGAGGUGUGGCGCAGAAGUGUUUCAUAAAAUGGUAUACUGAGUGAGGCAUAAAUGUGAGUCAGUCGUUCUGUUGGUGUUCUUGUGUAGCACGUUCUCUGCGCCGCGUGGUGAUGUUAACGUGUGAUACAGAGAGAGAGAGAGAGAGAGAGAGAGAGAGAGAGAGAGAGAGAGAGAGAGAGAGAGAGAGAGAGAGAGAGAGAGAGAGAGAGAGAGAGAGAGAGAGAGAGAGAGAGAGAGAGAGAGAGAGAGUAUGGAGGGGAACUACCGGGCCUUCACUACUCAGGGAUUUCCACCCAAGAUGUAUUUUUUUCUCAUAUUUUUUUCGUAUUUGUUGUUUCCGAGUUACGAUAUGUCAAAGAGAGAGAGAGAGAGAGAGAGAGAGAGAGAGAGAGAGAGAGAGAGA